GGUUGGGGGCUCACAAGGUAGCACUCUGGGGGCAUCUGCACCAUGGCCUGGGCUCUGCUCCUCCUCACCCUCCUCACUCAGGGCACAGGCUCCAGGACCCAGUCUGCCCUGACUCAGCCUCCCUCAGUGUCUGGCUCUCCUGGAAAGUCAGUCACCAUCUCCUGUGCUGGAAGCAGCAGUGAUGUCGGAGGUUAUAAUGAAGUCUCCUGGUACCAACAGCGCCCGGGCACAGCACCCAAACUGCUGAUUUAUGAUGUGACAAAUCGGCCCUCAGGGAUCCCUGAUCGCUUCUCUGGUUCCAAGUCUGGCAACACGGCCUCUCUGACCAUCUCUGGGCUCCAGGCUGAGGACGAGGCUGAUUAUUACUGUUGCUCAUAUUCGAGCAGUGUCACUCGCACAGUGGUGCAAGUUCAUGGGGAAGUGAGACAAAAACCUGCCGUGUUUCACAGGCUCCUUUGUUCCUCUGAAGGUGCUUCCCCACCCUGA